AAAGGACAUCCUGUCAGGCCGUGGCGUCUGUGCCCUGUCCUCCUCGCCCUGGUCUCCUCUCUACCGGGGAGGCGGGGAGGCGGGGAGGCGUAGGAAGGAAGCCUCUGUUUCUCCGAGGGAGACGCGGAGCCCACGGUCGGCCGCUGCCGCUGCCGGGGACUAUGUACUUGAGAAGAAGAUUCCUCUGAUACAGCAAAUCUGAGAAGGAGAAAAUGUUAAACCUUAAUGUCUUCCUACGUUAAUUGACCAAGGUCAAAGGAUUUCAGCCUGUCUUUGGAAAUGCAAUCAUGGAGUAAACCGCCUCACCUAGUUUCCAGUGGACCACCUCCACCUGGCCUCCACCUGCGCCUGGUUACCUUGACUGACCCUUACAAGACACAUAAAUAUCCUGCUCCCCCUACUC